GCAUAGCUAAGCCGUUUAAAGACAUUUUCAUUGCGCAUUCGUAAUGCGCAGGUCGUGGGUUCGAGUCCCAUUCCCAGCUCCA
rnacentral:tRNA from 2 species